UCCGUGCACCCGGAGACACCUCCCGCCGGCCCCCCCUCCCCUCCCCGCUGUGCUCAGAAGUUGGGGGGCCGCCCCGGCCGCGGGGGAAGCGGAGCGGGACCGGAGGGUGCGGUACUCACUUUGUCCUUCAAAUUUGCGGAUGAUGGUGUCCAGGGAGUGAUUUCGCUGAGCCUCCUAAUUUCAGCUGCAAGCAUGAUGCAGAAGCCAGAAGGCAGCAAAAUCUCUCCAGAUGUUAUCACAACAGGGAAGGGAAAUCAUCCUUGGUUUAAAGCUAUCUUGUAAAACACUGCUGCUGGCUUGGCAGAGCCCUCGGGGCACCAGCCAGCCCUCACUGCCCUCAAAAGUUUCACCUAGGCACGCUAUCUCAGCUGAGAAGCUCCAGUUGAGCCCCAAGUGGGACCAUCAGCCUCACCCUGGGCUGGACUGGGCAUAACCUUGUGUCCAGCCCCAUCUCCUGGGUGGACUUUGCACCUGUGUUGAAGGCAGCCUGGUGUCCAACCCCAUCCCAUCUGCUGCGUGGACCUUGGCCCCGUGUGGAAGGUUGGCCGGUGUCCAAUCCCACCUGCUGCACUGAGCUUGGACCUGCGCUGAAGGAACCUGGUGUCUGCCUCUGCCUUCUGCAUGGCCAGCGGGCCUGGGCUGUCUGCCUCUGGACACAGCUCAGCGCACCCACCACCCACCCUCGUGUCCAUGGUAGGACAAACUCAGCUCCUAUGUGAAUGCUCUGAUAUCUGGUUAGGUCUGAGCCUGUGCUGCAGUCCCUGAGUGUUCAGUGUGGCUCUUUUUUUUUUUUUUAAAUCCUCUUCUCCAGAAAGCAAUUUUCAUGAAACUUGCAGGAUCUUGAUGGUCUUGGAGACCUCUUUUCCCCCACUAAUGGGGCAGAAAGGAGCCAACGAGCUCAAAUUACCAGUGAGGAGCUGAGCUGGAUGGAGCACACCUGCACCAGCCUGAUUUCCCAGGCUGAAAAUACACUUGGCUUCCAACUCAGCUCUCACCGUGCCAGGUCUCUGCUCCAUGAGCAACGCACUGUCGGGAAGGGGGGAGAGGAGGGGGCCUGGUGUGCCGGGAUAUAAAGCAGAUGCACCAGGAUGUGGCGAGGGAAGGAUCCCGUGUGAGUACCGGGGCCUGGGGCUGCUGCUCCCGGGACCAGGGGAUGAACGGCUGGGGUGCCACCUCCCCGUGGGUGUCCUGUGCUCGAGGAGGAUGGAAAGCAAACAAACACCCGAGCGUGGGCGGGCAGACACCUGCCUUCUGCUCGUCUGCCAGGUGCAAUAAGCCGCUCCCAAGCCUCAGCUUCCCGGUGUAAGACAUGACAGAGGGCAGAGGCCAUCGGAUGGGAGAGGGAUGGGGGGAUCAUCCAGAUCCCCUCAUUUCCCCUGCUGCUUUGGGCUGCAGCAGAUCACAGCUCUUUAAGGCUGCAAUAAUCCCCAGCCUGGGAUUAGUUUUGCACCUAAUCACUGCAGAACAAAUACGAAGUUUUAUUUACAGAAGCAGAAGAAAGACAAGGCCGGGGAUGGGGGGGUGGGGUGGGCCUCAAGCACGGCUGAUCCCAAGAUAAUCAGGAGCUGGAGGGCAGGAGGUGAUCGCUGACCUUGGACCCCCCGCCCCGGCUCUUACGUAAAUGUGCUGUUGAGUGCUGGAGUCACAGCAGCCGUGAGCUCCAGCCUUGUCCCAGCUUGGGCUUGGUGACCCCCCAGCCCUUUAAACAGUUCAUGUCUGGACUUGGGGGAUUUCUGGCCCUGAUUCAACCCCUCCCUUAGGCAUGUGCUUCAUUGUGAACCCACGAGCUGUCAGCUCUGAUGGGAGCCGCAAUUCAGGGGAGGAUGGAGGUGCUGCAAAGGGAUGCUGAUCUUUCAUGAUGGGGAUGGGGGAAGCUGGGUGCUGCAGUUUUGUUGCCCCAAAGCCAGGCUGGUCCCCAGGGAUUUGUGUUUGCAUUGUGUUGGAGUGGCAGCUCUCCUGCUUGAGAGGCUUGUUCCACUGAGCCCUCAGCCCACAUCCAAGAAGAAGCUGAACUGCUGCUUGGAGGGUGACAAGACAUAGGUUUAUUUUUCAUCCAUGCAAGCGAACAGCCUGGCAGCAGGCAAACCAGGAUGUGCUCCAUCCCUCCCCAAACUGCCCUCUGUCAGUCAAGUCUCUGUGGCUUUGCCCACAGAUCAGAACUGGCUGGUGGGUGAGCAGGCUGGACCAGCUCCAGCGCUGGGCACAGGGGCAUCUUGUGACGGCUCCGUGCCUGCCGGAGCCUGAAUUUCUCUUUCCCCUGAUGCAGACAUUGACAAAUAAAUAGCUCUUCUCUGCUUUG